ensembl:lncRNA
UUUUUUGAAGGUGUUAUUCCUUGUUUGACUGAAUGUCUAGUCCAGAUUGGCCUUGAGCUCUCUGUGGAGUUAAUAAUGAGCUUAUGUUCUCAGCUCCUGUGUGCUGAGACAAUGGGCAUGUGUCUCCAUGCAUGCAGUUUCUGUGCUGCUGAGGAGAGAACCCAGGCCCUGUAUAUGCUAGGCUGCCAUUUUACCAACUGAGCUACAUCCCUAACUCCACAUCUAGAACCACUGUCUAGUCUCAGUUCCACAGAGUUAAUGCACCACAACCUGUGUAUGAAUGCCUUAGUCUUUAUCUAAUCCUGUCCUUUUGUAAAUGCCUUAGGGGAGGCUUCUGGAAAAAGGGUGUGAUGGUUUAUAAAUGCUUGGCCCAGGGAGUGGCACUAUGUGGAGGUGUUGCCCUGUUGGAGUAUAUGUGUCACCAUGGGAGUGGGUUUUAAGACCCUCACCCUAGCUGCCUGGAAGUCAGUCUUCCACCAGCAGUCUUCAGAUGAAGAUGCAGAACUCUCAGCUCCUCCUGCACCAUGGCUGUCUGGAUGCUGCCAUGCUCCUGCCUUGAUGAUAAUGGACUGAAUCUCUGAACCUGUAAGUCAGCCCGGAUUAAAUGUUUUUAUGAGUUGCCUUGGUCACGGUGUCUGUUCACAGCAGUAAAAUCCUAAGACAUGGGGUUAAUUCAUGUUUCCCUCACGUCAGCUUUUCCAGCAAAAAGUGUUUUCCUGUGGUUCUGAUGGGUACAUUUCCUUUUUUCAAAAACUGUUUUCUGUUCCUGUCUUCCUGUGUGGCUAUGUGGUGCGGGGGGUCAACCCAAGCAAUGCCUUGUCCAUGCUACGUGAAUACUCUCUGCAGAGCUCCAGCUACUGAAAAGCCCGGCUGUGAUCCCAUUUCUUUUGCCUCAAGUAAUGAGCUUUAGGCUCAUUUUAUUUCCUAGAUGAAUAAAGCUUUUCCAGUUUUCGUCAUUCUGCUGAGGUUACCGUGGUGUUGCUCCUUCAACCUUCACUUCAUUAUUUUGGUGGGUAAUUUAAGGAAGUUUUUUUCUUGCAGUAUACAGUUUUUAGUACUUAUUGUCUUUAAAUGAUAACUGUUUCUCUCUGGGAGACAUUUUUCACUGCCUUCAGUGUCUUUGACCUUUUAGAUCUUAAAGACUUUCUUCAUUUUCUCCUUAAGAAAGCGUAAGCUUUGCCCACUCUUUUCUAGUUUAGUCUACUAGAAGCAUUCCUUUUUGAGAUAUAGUUCUUAUACCAAUUUGUCUACUUAAAUUUGAGCACAUAUUUACUAAUAUGUCAACUUUAGAAAACUUUAUAUCUUUCAUCUUCUGCUCUUGUACCCCAUAAGUCAUAAUACCCUUCCAUUUCUAUAGAUAUGCCUUCCUCGAGUUUCAUAUAAAAGAAUCAUAAAUGUGGCAAGUUGUAAAAACUGUUUUCUUACCCUGCACUCAGCAUGUUUUAAGGCUCAUCCAAUACUUUAUUCCUUUUCAUGGCUGAAUAUGUUUCAUUAUACGUACAUUAUCUUUUUGCUUAUCAAUAUAACCGCAGAUGAAUAUUUGGGUUGUCUCCACCAUUUGUCUUUAUGAACAAUGCUGGACUCAAGCUAGAGGCUCCACUCCAUGAUGGGGAAUGAACAUCAGAAAGGAAUUUCAAGGGGCUGGGGAUUUAGCUCAGUGGUAGAGCGCUUACCUAGGAAGCGCAAGGCCCUGGGUUCGGUCCCCAGCUCCGAAAAAAAGAACCAAAAAAA